GAACUGUUCAUUACGCCACAAAUCUUCAAUGCUGACACCACUCCAUCUUAGCUCAAGCACUGCAGUUACAAUGAUAGAGAUAAAGAGGCCAAGAAACAGCAUGCUUGCCAGGUUUGAGAGCUGGAUCAAUGACAAGGAUGUGAAAAGGAAGACAAUAGAAGUUACCGUUGGUAUGAUGAAUUUUCCAGUGAGCAGACAAACUGCAGGAAUUGUGCAGUAAGCAAUGAGAGGGAGGGAUGUAAAUGGAUAAACAAUGGUGUUUAUAUAUGCAAGCCUUUGGAGCCAUUUAAGACGGCCUCCUCCAUACCCGUACCAGAGGGGACAAUGUCUACUAAAGAAAAUUUCCACAGAUCCAAGAGCCCAUCGGAGAACCUGGUGCAGUCUAUCAGACAGAUUGAUGGGUGCAGAUCCUUUGAAUGCUGGCCUUACGGGCAUGCAGUAUAUUGAUCUCCAUCCUCGGCAGUGCAUCUUGAAUCCACUUAAGAUAUCCUCAGUGACCGACCCAUAUAUCCAACCAAUCUGAGAGGACACAAAAAAAGGUUUAAUAUUGACAAUCUAAAUAUCAAAUAGGUUCAAACUGAUCAAUUUUUAUUUCAACAGAGCAUAAUUCAUACUUAAAUGCUAACGAAAUAGAAAAGGUCAAAGAAAGUUCCAACUAAGCAACCGAGAAUGUAUGGUUUAAAUGACAAACUAGAGUAGAAAAUGUCAUGAAAGCCCACAUUGGCUCUGGCUUGCUAGUGAAGUAACAAAAGAUAAUUCAGAAAUGAUGAGAGUGGAAUCUGAUUAACCAUACUAGGUAUUCGAUGAAGAGAAUAUAAAUUCUGUUAAAAGAAAUUGUCUUUUCUUGUUAAAAAAUAGCUCUGAAGGUUUGGAGUAAGGGAUGGAAGCUUAACCUCUUUUCCCCAUUCAGUCUUCUCUUCAAAGCCACAGCCGAUGACAUGAAUAGCUUCCUUGAUGAGUGUUGAUGAAUUGGCAGACUCAGGUACUCCUCCAUUCUCCAUUAGUGUAGACUCAAUGAAGACAGAAGAUAAGCCAAAAGUUUUCUCAAAGCUCAACUGGGAGAUCAGCAUUGACCUCUCAUACUCAUCAUAAUCUGCAAGAGAAAAAACCCCAACAUAACUCGGCGAUUCAAAAUUCUGUUAGCCAGUCAUCUAACCCAACUAUCUUACAAAAUUUAAACUUACUAUCAAUCUCUGUAAGAUUGAAUAUGGCAGCAUUGAGAUCCUCUCGUUUUGCAUCUUUGUAAACCUCAGCUGGAUCCUGAGCGGGCUUCUUCUUUGUGGGGCAGCAACAUGAGAAGCAGGAUGAAGACUCCUUGCCCUUGCGUAAGCGGGGCAUAGAAGGAGGCCCAUAUCCGUAAAGUGCUUGCCUAUUGAAAACACAACCAGUUCCCACAUACAUUGGUCCUUGAAUGCCAUCCAAUCCUUUCAUGUUAACCUGAAAAUAGAAUGGAAAGGAUUGUCAAAAUUCAAAAAGCUCUUAUUUAUCCAUAAACUACAGAAGCAAAGAUCUUAUGGCAAUGUUAUAUUAUUUCUACAGUCAGUAAAUUAUUGCCUAAUUUUUCA